CAAUUUGUCCCACAGAGCUCGUAUCAAGCAACGAAAGCUCUAGCUUUAGUGGAGGAAGAAGAGGGGCGACAGAUUGCUCAAAUUGGAGUGGUGAAAGUGUUGGUGGGAAGGAAAGGGGAUCAAGCAUCGUUCUUGCCCCCAAGCAAUGUAUAUGUGACACUCUACAAGUUAGGCACCAGGGAGAACAUGAGCAGAUUAUUCUUUGGGUGCCUAUAUUACAGGUUAUUGGUGACCAUCAUGAAGAGAAGGCCAGGUAAGUGGUUCAGGCGAGAUUGUUGGAAUUAGAAGAAAGGAUGAAAAAAUUGAAGGACAAAGUUGAAGAAAAAGAAAGAAGAACUGUCAGUGUAGCUAGAUCUAAGUGUGAAAUUGUUGGUUCUGAGUUACUUGUGUUGUUAGUUGUAAUUACAAUGACAUUUUUAGUUGGAAGUUUUGGCUGAA